rnacentral:rRNA from 1 species
GAUGAACGCUGGCGGCGUGCCUAAUACAUGCAAGUCGAGCGAACAGACGAGGAGCUUGCUCCCCUGACGUUAGCGGCGGACGGGUGAGUAACACGUGGAUAACCUACCUAUAAGGCUGGGAUAACUUCGGGAAACCGGAGCUAAUACCGGAUAAUAUAUUGAACCGCAUGGUUCAAUAGUGAAAGACGGUUUUGCUGUCACUUAUAGAUGGUUCCGCGCCGCAUUAGCUAGUUGGUAAGGUAACGGCUUACCAAGGCAACGAUGCGUAGCCGACCUGAGAGGGUGAUCGGCCACACUGGAACUGAGACACGGUCCAGACUCCUACGGGAGGCAGCAGUAGGGAAUCUUCCGCAAUGGGCGAAAGCUUGACGGAGCAACGCCGCGUGAGUGAUGAAGGUCUUCGGAUCGUAAAACUCUGUUAUUAGGGAAGAACAAAUGUGUAAGUAACUAUGCACGUCUUGACGGUACCUAAUCAGAAAGCCACGGCUAACUACGUG